rnacentral:rRNA from 1 species
GGGANUUUGGACAAUGGGCGCAAGCCUGAUCCAGCCAUGCCGCGUGAGUGAAGAAGGCCUUCGGGUUGUAAAGCUCUUUCGGCGGGGACGAAACGGUNCGUGACAACACCACGGACUAAUGACGGUACUCGCAGAAGAAGCACCGGCUAACUACGUGCCAGCAGCCGCGGUAAUACGUAGGGUGCAGGCGUUAAUCGGAAUUACUGGGCGUAAAGCGUGCGCAGGCGGCUCCUUAAGUCAGAUGUGAAAUCCCCGGGCUUAACCUGGGAACUGCGUUUGAAACUGGGGAGCUGGAGUGUGGAAGAGGGGGGUGGAAUUCCAGGUGUAGCAGUGAAAUGCGUAGAGAUCUGGAGGAACACCGAUGGCGAAGGCAGCCCCCUGGGCUAACACUGACGCUCAUGCACGAAAGCGUGGGGAGCAAACAGGAUUAGAUACCCUGGUAGUCCACGCCCUAAACGAUGUCAACUAGUUGUUAGGGAAGCAAUUCCUUGGUAACGAAGCUAACGCGUGAAGUUGACCGCCUGGGGAGUACGGCCGCAAGGUUAAAACUCA